UGACUUAGCAAGUACAUAUACUAAAAUUGGAUCGAUACAGAGAAGAUUAGCAUGGCCCCUGUGCAAAGAUGACACGCAAAAUCGUGAAGCGUUCCAUAUUUUU
rnacentral:snRNA from 1 species